rnacentral:rRNA from 1 species
UGACUGAGCGGCGGACGGGUGAGUAACGCGUGGGUAACCUGCCUCAUACAGGGGGAUAACAGUUGGAAACGGCUGCUAAUACCGCAUAAGCGCACAGUACCGCAUGGUACCGUGUGAAAAACUCCGGUGGUAUGAGAUGGACCCGCGUCUGAUUAGCUAGUUGGUGGGGUAACGGCCUACCAAGGCGACGAUCAGUAGCCGACCUGAGAGGGUGACCGGCCACAUUGGGACUGAGACACGGCCCAAACUCCUACGGGAGGCAGCAGUGGGGAAUAUUGCACAAUGGGGGAAACCCUGAUGCAGCGACGCCGCGUGAGCGAUGAAGUAUUUCGGUAUGUAAAGCUCUAUCAGCAGGGAAGAAAAUGACGGUACCUGACUAAGAAGCCCCGGCUAACUACGUGCCAGCAGCCGCGGUAAUACGUAGGGGGCAAGCGUUAUCCGGAUUUACUGGGUGUAAAGGGAGCGUAGACGGCAUGGCAAGCCAGAUGUGAAAGCCCGGGGCUCAACC